rnacentral:rRNA from 1 species
UCUGAAUCUGCGAACGGCUCCGCAAACCAGUUGUAAACCACAGCAAGCCCGUGUGGCGGGCUUCGGCCUCCGCGCAAUAUGGAUAACCCUGGUAAUUCUGAGGCUAAUACAUGUACGAUUAAAGCGGUGGACCGGCUUCGGCUGGAAACCGUGAGGUGAGCGAUUAAAUGCCAGGGUAAUCCAGGAAAGGGCGCUUAUCAGGACCGCGAUACUAAGGAUGAUCCGCAAGGAGAUUCCCAGCGGCUCUUGCUCGGUGCUUCUGACCUAUCAACUAGACGGCAGCGUAACGGACAUGCUAUGGU